rnacentral:tRNA from 1 species
GGCACUUUGGCGGAGUGGCCUAACGCGGUGCCCUGCUAUACAUGUAUUGUAAGCCUAGGCAUUUCCUUCGGGAGCGUGAGUUCGAAUCUCACAGGUGUCG